rnacentral:rRNA from 1 species
UACGUAGGGUGCGAGCGUUAAUCGGAAUUACUGGGCGUAAAGUGUGCGCAGGCGGCCGAGCAAGUCGAGUGUGAAAGCCCCGAGCUUAACUUGGGAACUGCGCUCGAAACUACUUGGCUAGAGUGUGGCAGAGGGAGGUGGAAUUCCACGUGUAGCGGUGAAAUGCGUAGAUAUCAGGAGGAACACCGAUGGCGAAGGCAGAUCUCUGGGCCUUACCUGACGCUGAGGAGCGAAAGCUGGGGGAGCGAACAGG